UCUUGGCUGCACCAGAAAUUCCCUUGGUCAUUCUUGCUUUACUUCUUUGUUUUCUUCCUUCUUUGUUCUUAUUGGUUGCACCUUUAUCUCUUCUUUGACUUUCUCAAAGAAAGAAGACUCAAGAAGCUCCCCCUCUCUUUUCCCACGGGUCCAAUUAAAUCAGAAAAUUCUCACUUCACUUUUCUCUCUUUUGUCUUAAGGAAAGUGCUUGGAAGCUCUCUUGAGUCUACCCUCAAGUCCACGGGUUCACACACCAAAAGAAAACUCAAUUCUUCUUCAUAUUCUCUCUAAGGAACCAGAAAACUCUCUCAAGCUCUCUACCAUUCUUUCAUGAGUGGUUCUAUGUCUAUUUUUCCCCUCAAGAAACAUAAACUUGGUGUUACCAGUAUCCAAGUCUAAGCUCCUUCGACUUUAGGCUCUCGGUUCCUCUGCUUUCAGGUAAGGGAUAAGUUAUAUGGGCAUUUGGUAAGUCAUGAGGUUAUUUUAAAGUAUAUUAUGCAUUAAAAUGUUUUUUAUUAGAGAUAUGGCAUGUAAUCAUUAUUCUGACAAAGAUAUGUUCGUGAGCUUUCGAAACCUUAUGUAUAUGAUUUCAGCAUAUUGAUGUUAUUAUUGAUUCCGCGAACAUGAUGUUUAAAGAAAAGAAUGGAAAUGCUAUUAUCAUGAAAUGUCAUGCAAAACAAGAAAUUUCAGUAUGAUGUAAAGUAUGAAAUGUUUUCGGGUUAUGUCCUCAGGUAAUCUGAACUCGGCUAGUAGGGGUUAAUUACUGACUUUCCAUGGAAAAAUGUUAUAUGUUUGGCCAUUUAAAGUAGAGGAAAUGGGACUGCCCGUAACUCUAGGCCAUUUAAAGUAGAGGAAAUGGGGUUGCCCGCAACUCUAAUCUGAAUAAGGCCUUCUCCCCAAUGUGUACGGAUGGCAGGGAGGAAUAAAACCUUGAGGAGAUGUGCCAUCAGGCCUCUCAAAGAGGACAAUAUCAUGCACACAGGGUCACCCAAAUGUGAUGAGGCCUUCUCUGUAUAGCUUAUCAGAUAUGGACUAACCAAUAUGUUAUGAACAGCUAUGUUUUGUUAUUAAUCAUGAGAGAAUUAUUUUGUUUAAAUGCAUUGUGAAAAGUGAAAGCUCUCA